rnacentral:rRNA from 1 species
AGAGUUUGAUCCUGGCUCAGAACGAACGCUGGCGGCAGGCUUAACACAUGCAAGUCGAACGGCUGUAGCAAUACAGCAGUGGCAGACGGGUGAGUAACACGUGGGAACCUUCCUAGAGGUACGGAACAACUCAGGGAAACUUGAGCUAAUACCGUAUACGCUCUUGCGAGGAAAGAUUUAUCGCCUUUAGACGGGCCCGCGUAGGAUUAGGUAGUUGGUGGGGUAACGGCCUACCAAGCCUACGAUCCUUAGCUGAUCUGAGAGGAUGAUCAGCCACACUGGGACUGAGACACGGCCCAGACUCCUACGGGAGGCAGCAGUGGGGAAUCUUGGACAAUGGGCGCAAGCCUGAUCCAGCCAUGCCGCGUGAGUGAAGAAGGCCUUCGGGUUGUAAAGCUCUUUUACCAGGGACGAUAAUGACGGUACCUGAGAAUAGCC